rnacentral:tRNA from 1 species
AAUGUGUUUUUAGGGGCUUCUAACUCCUUUUAAAGUGUUAUUUUCAUUUACACAUUU